rnacentral:rRNA from 1 species
CCCCUAAUCGGGGUUGCGGACAGUGCCUGGUGGGUAGUUUGACUGGGGCGGUCUCCUCCCAAAGAGUAACGGAGGAGCACGAAGGUGGGCUAAUCACGGUUGGACAUCGUGAGGUUAGUGCAAUGGCAUAAGCCCGCUUGACUGCGAGAAUGACAAUUCGAGCAGGUGCGAAAGCAGGUCAUAGUGAUCCGGUGGUUCUGAAUGGAAGGGCCAUCGCUCAACGGAUAAAAGGUACUCCGGGGAUAACAGGCUGAUACCGCCCAAGAGUUCAUAUCGACGGCGGUGUUUGGCACCUCGAUGUCGGCUCAUCACAUCCUGGGGCUGAAGUCGGUCCCAAGGGUAUGGCUGUUCGCCAUUUAAAGUGGUACGCGAGCUGGGUUUAGAACGUCGUGAGACAGUUCGGUCCCUAUCUGCCGUGGGCGUUGGAAGAUUGA